UACAGAGGGUGCAAACGUUGCUCGGAAUUACUGGGCGUAAAGCGCGUGUAGGCGGUUCCGCAAGUCAGGUGUGAAAGCCCAGGGCUCAACCCUGGAAGUGCACUUGAUACUACGGAGCUUGAGUACUGAAGAGGAGAGCGGAAUUCCCGGUGUAGAGGUGAAAUUCGUAGAUAUUGGGAAGAACACCAGUGGCGAAGGCGGCUCACUGGUCCGAUACUGACGCUGAGGUGCGAAAGCGUGGGGAGCAAACAGG
rnacentral:rRNA from 1 species